rnacentral:rRNA from 1 species
AACUUGCCUUGGGUCYGGGAUAACCCCUGGGAAACUGGGGCUAAUACCGGAUAGAGCAUCGAUUGCUGGAAUGCCUGAUGYUCGAAAGCURMGGYGCCCAAGGAUAGGUCUGCGGCCGAUUAGGUUGUUGUUGAUGUAAUGGAYCAACAAGCCUACGAUCGGUACGGGUUGUGAGAGCAAUAGCCCGGAGAUGGGUUCUGAGAAAAGAACCCAGGUCCUACGGGACGCAUCAGGCGCGAAAACUUUACAMUGUGCGAAAGCACGAUAAGGGAACUCUGAGUGCCUCCUAAGGAGGCUGUUCUAGUGUCUAAAAAGCAUUUGAAGUAAGGGCUGGGYAAGACCGGUGCCAGCCGCCGCGGUAACACCGGCAGCCCAAGUGGUAGCCACGUUUAUUGGGUCUAAAGCGUCCGUAGCCGGCUKGGUAAGUUCCUUGGUAAAUUUAACCGCUYAACGGUUAAGCUUUCAGGGAAUACUGCUUGGCUUGGGACCGGGAGAGGUCAGAGGUACUCCAAGGGUAGGGGUGAAAUCCAUUAAUCCUUGGGGGACCACCGGUAGCGAAGGCGUCUGACCAGACCRGSUCCGACGGUGAGGGACGAAGGCUAGGGUCGCGAACCGGAUUAGAUACCCGGGUAGUCCUAGCUGUAAACGAUGCGGGCCAGGUGUUGGCAUUACUGCGAGUGAUGCCAGUGCCGAAGGGAAGCCGUUAAGCCCGCCAUCUGGGGAGUACGGUCGCAAGGCUWAACUUAA